UUUGUUGCAUCUUCCUCUCUUGGUAUGUUUGACUUCUAAACAGCUCAGACUUUGUGGAAUUUUGGGUUUUGAUCGCUUGAAAUGCUUUGUUACUUCUUUUUCUGUCUCUGUUUUAAUUGAGAAUAGUGUAUAAAAGCGUGUGACUUGGUGAAUUUGUCUCUUGAAUUUUGAUUUGUAAUUUGGAGUAGGAAUUCUAUGGAACAGAGAAAGAGCUUAGAACUUUUUGAUGUCUUUUUUGGCCUCUGAAUUGCUACAUUAUUAUAUUCUAGCUCAAGUGGAAGAUAUCCACAAAAUAGGCUGAUUUUCU
rnacentral:misc_RNA from 1 species